rnacentral:rRNA from 1 species
AGGACGAACGCUGGCGGCGUGCUUAACACAUGCAAGUCGAACGAGGUCCAACCCGUCGCAAGACGGGGGAAGACCGAGUGGCGAACGGGUGAGUAACACGUGAGGAACGUGCCCCGGAGACCGGGAUAACAGCGGGAAACCGCUGCUAAUACCGGAUACCUUCUUUUGACCGCAUGGUCAGCUGAAGAAAUGGAUUCCGCUCCGGGAGCGCCUCGCGGUCUAUCAGCUUGUGGUGGGUAACGCCUACCAAGGCGACGACGGAUAGCUGGUCUGAGAGGACGAUCAGCCACACUGGGACUGAGACACGGCCCAGACUCCUACGGGAGGCAGCAGUGGGAAUCUGCCAAGUGGCGAAAGCCUGAGGCCAGCGAACGCCGCGUGUGGAUGAAGGCCCUUGGGUUGUAAACCACUUUACGAGCUAAGGGACGUAAAA